rnacentral:rRNA from 1 species
CCCCAGCGCCACAAGUGGUUAUCACGAUUAUUGGGUCUAAAGCGUUCGUAGCCGGUUUGGUGCAUCUCUUGUGAAAUUGUGCUGCUUAACAGUACAGCGUGCAGGAGACACGGCCAGACUCGAGACCGGGAGGCGUAUGAAGUAUUCCAUGGGGACUGGUAAAAUGGGAUAAUCCAUGGAAGACUACCGAUGGCGAAGGCAUCAUACGAGAACGGAUCUGACGGUGAGGAACGAAAGCUAGGGGAGCGAACCG